rnacentral:rRNA from 1 species
CCUACGGGUGGCAGCAGUCGAGAAUCAUUCACAAUGGGGGAAACCCUGAUGCUGCGACGCCGCGUGGGGGACUGAAGCUCUUCGGAUUGUAAACCCCUGUCAUGUGGGAGCAAAUUAAAAAGAUAGUACCACAAGAGGAAGAGACGGCUAACUCUGUGCCAGCAGCCGCGGUAAUACAGCGGUCUCAAGCGUUGUUCGGAAUCACUGGGCGGAAAGCGUGCGUAGGCUGUUUCGUAAGUCGUGUGUGAAAGGCGCGGGCUCAACCCGCGGGCGGCACAUGAUACUGCGAGACUAGAGUAAUGGAGGGGGAACCGGAAUUCUCGGUGUAGCAGUGAAAUGCGUAGAUAUCGAGAGGAACACUCGUGGCGAAGGCGGGUUCCUGGACAUUAACUGACGCUGAGGCACGAAGGCCAGGGGAGCGAAAGGGAUUAGAUACCCGAGUAGUC